GAUGAACGCUGGCGGCGUGCCUAAUACAUGCAAGUAGAACGCUGAAGGAGGAGCUUGCUCUUCUGGAUGAGUUGCGAACGGGUGAGUAACGCGUAGGUAACCUGCCUGGUGGCGGGGGAUAACUAUUGGAAACGAUAGCUAAUACCGCAUGACAACAGUUAUUGCAUGAUAACUGUUUAAAAGGGGCAACUGCUCCACUACCAGAUGGACCUGCGUUGUAUUAGCUAGUUGGUGAGGUAACGGCUCACCAAGGCGACGAUACAUAGCCGACCUCAGAGGGUGAUCGGCGACACUGGGACUGGGACACGGCCCAGACUCCUACGGGAGGCAGCAGUAGGGAAUCUUCGGCAAUGGACGGAAGUCUGACCGCGCAACGCCGCGUGGGUGAAGAAGGUUAUCGGAUCGUAAAGCUCUGUUGUAAGAGAAGAAAGAGUGUGAGAGUGGAAAGUUCACACUGUGACGGUAUCUUACCAGAAAGGGACGGCUAACUACGUG
rnacentral:rRNA from 1 species